rnacentral:tRNA from 1 species
GCCGCCUUAGCUCAGCCGGUAGAGCAUCGCAUUCGUAAUGCGGGGGUCGCGUGUUCGAGUCACGCAGGCGGCACCA